UCCCUGGUGGUCCAGUGGCUAAGACACUGUGCUCUCAAUACAAAGGGCCUGGGUUCGAUCCCUGGCUGGGGAA
rnacentral:tRNA from 1 species